rnacentral:rRNA from 1 species
UGCUAGUCAGCGCCUUCCAGCCAUGUGGGAGGUGCGGCAUACAGCUCAGUAACACGUGGCUAAUCUGCCCUUGGGACCGGAACACCCCCGGGAAACUGGGGCUAAUUCUCGAUAGGUAAAGAACUCUGGAAUGAGUCUUUGCUUAAAAGACAUUUAUGUUAUGCUCGUAGAUGUCGCCCAAGGAUGAGGCCGCGACCGAUCAGGUUGUUGGUGAGGUAAUGGCUCACCAAGCCUUUUACCGGUGCGGGCCGUGAGAGCGGGAGCCCGGAGAUGGGCACUGAGACAAGGGCCCAGGCCCUACGGGGCGCAGCAGUCGCGAAAACUUUGCAAUACACGAAAGUGUGACAGGGCUAUCCCGAGUGCCAUCCGCUGAGGAAGGCUUUUACCCAGUCUAGAACGCUGGGGGAAUAAGGAGAGGGCAAGUCUGGUGUCAGCCGCCGCGGUAAUACCAGCUCUCCGAGUGGUGUGGAUGUUUAUUGGGCCUAAAGCAUCCGUAGCUGGCUGAGUUAGUCCCUUGUUAAAUCCACCGAAUUAAUCGUUGGAUUGCGGGGGAUACUGCUCGGCUAGGGGACGAGAGAGGCAGACGGUAUUUCCGGGGUAGGGGUGAAAUCCUAUAAUCCCGGGAAGACCACCAGUGGCGAAGGCUGUCUGCUAGAACGCGCCCGACGGUGAGGGAUGAAAGCUGGGGGAGCGAACCGGAUUAGAUACCCGGGUAGUCCCAGCUGUAAACGAUGCAGGCUAGGUGUUUGGACGGCCACGUGCCGUUCUAGUGCCGCAGGAAAGCUGUUAAGCCUGCCGCCUGGGGAGUACGAUCGCAAGAUUGAAACUUAA